GACGAACGCUGGCGGCGUGCUUAACACAUGCAAGUCGAGCGGUAAGGCCCUUUUGGGGGUACACGAGCGGCGAACGGGUGAGUAACACGUGGGUGACCUGCCCUCAGCUCUGGGAUAAGCCUGGGAAACUGGGUCUAAUACUGGAUAUGACCUUUCCUCGCAUGGGGUUGGGGUGGAAAGUUUUCGGCUGGGGAGUGGCCCGCGGCCUAUCAGCUUGUUGGUGGGGUGAUGGCCUACCAAGGCGACGACGGGUAGCCGGCCUGAGAGGGCGACCGGCCACACUGGGACUGAGACACGGCCCAGACUCCUACGGGAGGCAGCAGUGGGGAAUAUUGCGCAAUGGGCGGAAGCCUGACGCAGCGACGCCGCGUGGGGAUGACGGCC
rnacentral:rRNA from 1 species